UUUCCGGUUGAUCCUGCCAGACCUGACUGCUAUCGGAUUGAUACUAAGCCAUGCGAGUCAUUGCAGCAAUGCAAGGCAGACGGCUCAGUAACGCGUAGUCAACCUAACCUAUGGACGGGAAUAACCUCGGGAAACUGAGUAUAAUGCCCGAUAGAACACUAUAUCUGGAAUGGUUUGUGUUCCAAAUGAUUUAUCGCCGUAGGAUGGGACUGCGGCCUAUCAGUUUGUUGGUGAGGUAAUGGCCCACCAAGACUAUUACAGGUACGGGCUCUGAGAGGAGUAGCCCGGAGAUGGGUACUGAGACACGGACCCAGGCCCUAUGGGGCGCAGCAGGCGAGAAAACUUUGCAAUGUGCGAAAGCACGACAAGGUUAAUCCGAGUGGUUUCUGCUAAAGGAACCUUUUGUUAGUCCUAGAAACACUAACGAAUAAGGGGUGGGCAAGUUCUGGUGUCAGCCGCCGCGGUAAAACCAGCACCUCAAGUGGUCAGGAUGAUUAUUGGGCCUAAAGCAUCCGUAGCCGGCUCUGUAAGUUUUCGGUUAAAUCUGUACGCUCAACGUACAGGCUGCCGGGAAUACUGCAGAGCUAGGGAGUGGGAGAGGUAGACGGUACUCGGGAGGAAGUGGUAAAAUGCUUUGAUCUCUCGAUGACCACCUGUGGCGAAGGCGGUCUACCAGAACACGUCCGACGGUGAGGGAUGAAAGCUGGGGGAGCAAACCGGAUUAGAUACCCGGGUAGUCCCAGCUGUAAACUAUGCAAACUCAGUGAUGCAUUGGCUUGUGGCCAAUGCAGUAUUGCAGGGAAGCCGUUAAGUUUGCCGCCUGGGAAGUACGUACGCAAGUAUGAAACUUAAAGGAAUUGGCGGGGGAGCACCACAAGGGGUGAAGCCUGCGGUUCAAUUGGAUUCAACGCCGGAA
rnacentral:rRNA from 1 species